AUCCUGUGGCCUUUUGUCCUGUAGCCCUUGUCAUGUGUCCUGUAGCCCUGUGGCCUCUAUCAUGUAGCCUGUGUCAUAAAACAUUUGUUACAGACUAGGGGGCACAAUACACAGGCUACAGGACGCAGAACACAGGACAUAAGACACAGUCUAUAGGACUCAAGACACAGGACAUAGGCCACAGGACACAAGCUACAGCACAGAGGCCACAUGCUACAGGACACAGGACAUAGCCCAGAUGACAUAGGGCAGAUGAUAUAGGACACAGGCUCCAGGAUAUAGUCCACAGGCUACAGGACACAGGCUACAGGACACAGGAUACACAGCAUAGGACACAGGCCACAGAUUACAGGACACUGGUUAAAGGAUACAGACUACAGGCUACAGAACACAGGCUACAGGACACAGCAUACUCGACACAGGACACAGGCUACACAACACAGGCUGAAGGAAAGAGGUAACAAGACACAGGACACCAGCUAUAGGACAGAGGCCACAGGACACAGGACAAAGGCUGCAGGGUAAAGGCCACAGGCUACAGGCUAUAGGCCAUAGGACAUAGGCCAUAGAUUACAGGACACAGGCUACACAACAUAGGACAUAUGUCACAGGAUACAGGCUACAGGACCUAGGCCCCAGAGAUCAGAGAACAGGCUACAGGACACAGGACAACACUACAGGACAUUGUCCACAGGCUAUAGGAAACGGGCUUCAGGACACAGGACACAGACUACAGCAAAGAGGACAACAGCACUAGGACACACGCCACAGGCUCAGGACACAGGACACAGGCUACGGGGCACAGGUUACAGGCUACAGGAUAUAGUCCACAGGCCACAGGAGACAGGACAAAGGCUAAACAACAUAUGACACAAGCUACAGGACACAGGACAAGGGUAAAGGACACAGGCUACAUGCUAUAUGAACAGGUUAAAGGACGAGGACACUGGCUACAGGACAGAGGACACAGGCUACAGGACACAGGACAUAGCCCAGAUGACACAGGACACAGGAUAUAGGACACAGAAUAUGGAACCUAGGACACAGCCUAGAGGACACAGCCUACGGGACACAGAUUGCAGGACACAGGACAUAGGCGACAAGCUACAGGACACAGGACAGAGGCCACAGGACACAGGACACAGGCUCCACAAUCUAGGACACAGGCCAGAGGCCACAGGACAGUGGCUACAGGACACAGGCUACAGGACACUCUAUCCUAUAGCCAGUGUCCGUUGUCUUGUUCCCUCUUUCCUUCACCCUGUGUCGUGUAGGCUGUGUCCUGUGUCAUGUAGCCUGUGGCCUAUAUCCUUUGUUCUGUAG
rnacentral:lncRNA from 1 species